rfam:Enterococcus faecalis V583, complete genome.
AUAAUGAUACUUCCGUAACUAAAUUGGCUCGCCAUUACUGGGGAGAGGUGAAAAUCCUAUGU